rnacentral:rRNA from 1 species
UACGUAGGUCCCGAGCGUUGUCCGGAUUUAUUGGGCGUAAAGCGAGCGCAGGUGGUUUAUUAAGUCUGGUGUAAAAGGCAGUGGCUCAACCAUUGUAUGCAUUGGAAACUGGUAGACUUGAGUGCAGGAGAGGAGAGUGGAAUUCCAUGUGUAGCGGUGAAAUGCGUAGAUAUAUGGAGGAACACCGGUGGCGAAAGCGGCUCUCUGGCCUGUAACUGACACUCAGGCUCGAAAGCGUGGGGAGCAAACAGG